rnacentral:lncRNA from 1 species
GUUGAGAAAAGUGCAGAAGAUUAAUUUUGGCGACAUCGGGCACCUGUUAAAAUGCCUUGCCUAGUAAUACCUGUUUAGAUCUAGUAUGCAAGAAACAGACCUAGAAUAUGAGUAGCAAUUAAACCUGAGGUCUUAAAUAUUAGAAUACUUUGAAAAAUAUUUUGGCAAACAGCUCUAACUUUUAAAACAUGCUUUAAUUAAAAUCUGUGAGGUAUAUAACACAGAUAAUUCUGGCCUGGAAGGAAUGUGAAAAUCAAAGAAGAGCUCCAUCAUAUAUACAGGAAAGGAGUUAUUUUAGACACACAGUUAUGCUAUUAAGACUUUUGGGGGGAUUAGUGAAAUCAAAGUGAAUUCUAAUAUCUUAGAUGAAUGGAAAAAUUUCUAAUCUUUUCUCUAGACAAGUGUUGAUUUGCUUGUACUUUGUUAUGAAAAUAUUAUCCUGUUAGAAGACUGACUUUUUACUGCUAGCAAUAGUGUAUGUAUCUAUCUCCUAAUUGUUCAUGGUAAGGAUGUGCUAAAUGAGUUCUAAAAAAGUGGUAAAUUGUGUUUUAAAAUGAGUAACUGUAACUAUGUCUAGUCUAUUUGCUUUAAAGUGAUUUGUGUUUGACCAUAAUUUAGUGUUGUAAUGGGAUCAGAAGUAAUAAUUUUGUGGGUACUUGUAAUGAGAAACUUGUCUAUAUAAUAUGUGUUUACUAGUUUCUAUAUUAUCAUGAACUACACUUUUAGGGUCAUUUGGGGGAGACCUGUGAUUUAAUUUCAUUAAUGUAUUAAUUUCACUUUAAACAUACCUGUUAUCUUAAAGAGGAAAAAAUAUUUCCAGGAGAUUACUGAACUUCUUAGAGGAAAUUUUGAGGUUAGAGCCCAUUUAUGAAGCAGUCCAGGAGUCCUUGAAAAUUAUUUAUGUCAUUUGAGAAAAGUACAGAGAGAACAAGUGUCCAGU